GACGAACGCUGGCGGCGUGCUUAACACAUGCGAGUCGAACGGAAAGGCCCUGCUUUUGUGGGGUGCUCGAGUGGCGAACGGGUGAGUAACACGUGGGUAACCUGCCCUUGACUUUGGGAUAACUUCAGGAAACUGGGGCUAAUACCGGAUAGGAGCUCCUGCUGCAUGGUGGGGGUUGGAAAGUUUCGGCGGUUGGGGAUGGACUCGCGGCUUAUCAGCUUGUUGGUGGGGUAGUGGCUUACCAAGGCUUUGACGGGUAGCCGGCCUGAGAGGGUGACCGGCCACAUUGGGACUGAGAUACGGCCCAGACUCCUACGGGAGGCAGCAGUGGGGAAUAUUGCACAAUGGGCGGAAGCCUGAUGCAGCAACGCCGCGUGCGGGAUGACGGCCUUCGGGUUGUAAACCGCUUUCGCCUGUGACGAAGCGUGAGUGACGGUAAUGGGUAAAGAAGCACCGGCUAACUACGCG
rnacentral:rRNA from 1 species